rnacentral:rRNA from 1 species
AGAGUUGAUCCUGGCUUAGGACGAACGCUGGCGGCGUGCCUAACACAUGCAAGUCGAGCGAGGAGAUUCCUCGGGAUGAUCCUAGCGGCGGACGGGUGAGUAACACGUGGGCAACCUGCCUCAUAGAGAGGAAUAGCCUUCCGAAAGGGAGAUUAAUACCUCAUAACAUUGCAGUUUCGCAUGGAACAGCAAUUAAAGGAGUAAUCCGCUAUGAGGUGGGCCCGCGGCGCAUUAGCUAGUUGGUGAGGUAACGGCUCACCAAGGCGACGAUGCGUAGCCGACCUGAGAGGGUGAUCGGCCACAUUGGGACUGAGACACGGCCCAGACUCCUACGGGAGGCAGCAGUGGGGAAUAUUGCACAAUGGGGGAAACCCUGAUGCAGCAACGCCGCGUGAGUGAUGACGGCCUUCGGGUUGUAAAGCUCUGUCUUCAGGGACGAUAAUGACGGUACCUGAGGAGGAAGCCACGGCUAACUACGUGCCAGCCGCCGC